UGCCGCAGCUCGAGGCCUGGAUCCACAACAUCACCCAUGGGUCAGGGAUCGGCUGGCCACUUGAGGCCUUCUAGACUUUGUCUAGGAAUGAGCUCAACGUCUCCCAGGCCCAGCGCCACGCGCUGCCCUUCACCAAGGUCUUCACCACCUGCUGCCCUUUGCGUGUGCAGGAGGUGUGCGGCGGCGCACUGCAGCUGCAGAACUACCGGCCCGUGUACUCUGAGGACCAGCAGCACGACCUCGCCCUGGAUCUGGUGCUGUCACAAGGCCCAAACCACUUCAGCUGGUUGUCUUC
rnacentral:lncRNA from 1 species